CGUCUGCUGUGAUGAACCACAUGUUCAGUCUGUGUUUCACCUGAUCUGCCCUGAUUACACACAUGCUCUGAGCAGACU
rnacentral:snoRNA from 1 species